AGGUAAGCUAUAAUUUUUAUGUAUUUUCCUCAAUGCUUAAUUAUCUGGAUUUGCAUGCAAGCUCUACACCUCACAGUAUCUUUUUGCGGUUUUUAUUUUUGCAAUUUUUAUUUGGAUCAGGGUGUCUGUGGCUCAGUGGUAUUUUUAGUGCUCACAGUUAUGCAUUUUCUGAUCAUGUUCAUUAGGACAUUUAUUGGUUGCAUGUUAUGUGUUUGAUCAAAUGUCAAGAUGAUAUUUUUGGGUAUGUUUUCUUAUUUCUUAUUUUAAUUUUAAAUUUGUGGCACUUUUAAAAUUAUUAGUUAUAACUAAAAAGUGUAGUUUGGUUGGAUCCAAUCUAUACUUUUAAAUAAACAACUUGCUUUCAUAUUUGUUUUUUGUUUUUUAUUUCCCUCAACUGCCAUUUCCCGUUGGCCUAGAGCUACAACCAGAGCUGCCAAGGUAUUUCUAGCAUUCUCCUUCUUCGAAUUUUUUUUUAUUUUUCUGCUUCUUCAGGUUCUUUUAGAUUUGUUGACAUUACGAGUUUUUUUUUUGCUUGAUCAAGUUCUGAGGGUAAUUUUAGGAGCCUCCAUUCCCAUUUGUUAAAGGGCCAAGAUGAUUUUCCUUUUGCAUUGAAGGUGUAAGGAAAUGAUUUGUUGAAAAUAUGAGUUUUUUUUCUUUCCCUGCUGUUCUCAUGCAUGUUUUAUUUUUAUUCUCAUGCAUGUUAACUUUUCAUUUUUCUGUGUUUUUGGUCCCUUUGCUAUUUUUGUUCUCAUGCAUGUUAACUUUUCAUUUUUCUGUAUUUUUGGUCCCUUUGUUGUUGUCCAUUUUUUGUUGAGUGGAGAAGUUUUGACUUUUGCUUCCUGUUAUUGAUGUUUUCCUGGUAAUUCAUGGUUGUUUGUUUAGUGUUUUUUAUGUUCUCAUGCAUGUUUGCUUUUCUAAUGUUUUUUUAUUUUUUCUUUGUUGCGACAGGUAUUAUGUUCCAAGACAUUACUACUCUAUUGCUUUCUGUUGUUGUAGCAGGUAUUAUAUUCCAAGACAUUACUACGUUCUGCUUCACUGGAAAUCGUGCCACUUGAGGAAGUUUUUCAGACUCUGAGGUGUGAUUCAAAUGGACUCACAAUAGCAUCUGCAGAAAGGCUUUCACAUUCCGGCAAGGAUAGGAUUCUCGCUUCAAUAUUCACAAAAUUGAAGUUACUGUGGCUCUUCCAUCAACCAAUGAUUGAAAACUAUUUGUUUUUUGUUAUUCUUAUAUGACAAAUAAGUCAUUGAUUCUUACUCAAUUUUUGUUGCUCGAGAUUAUGCAUUUUUUUAUUCUCACUUUUGUAAAAUAAACAACCUAUUCUUCACUUAUAGUAA